UCCCUGGUGGCUCAGAGGGUAAAGUGUCUGCCUGCAAUGCAGCAAACUCGGGUUUGAUUCCUGGGUCGGGAA
rnacentral:tRNA from 1 species